AGUGAACGCUGGCGGCAGGCCUAACACAUGCAAGUCGAACGGCAGCACAGUGGAGCUUGCUCCAUGGGUGGCGAGUGGCGGACGGGUGAGGAAUACAUCGGAAUCUGCCCAGUCGUGGGGGAUAACAUAGGGAAACUUAUGCUAAUACCGCAUACGACCUACGGGUGAAAGCGGGGGAUCGCAAGACCUCGCGCGAUUGGAUGAGCCGAUGUCCGAUUAGCUAGUUGGCGGGGUAAUGGCCCACCAAGGCGACGAUCGGUAGCUGGUCUGAGAGGAUGAUCAGCCACACUGGAACGGAGACACGGUCCAGACUCCUACGGGAGGCAGCAGUGGGGAAUAUUGGACAAUGGGCGCAAGCCUGAUCCAGCCAUGCCGCGUGGGUGAAGAAGGCCUUCGGGUUGUAAAGCCCUUUUGUCCGGAAAGAAAAGCCUCGGAUUAAUACCCUGGGGUGAUGACGGUACCGGAAGAAUAAGCACCGGCUAACUUCGUGCCAGCCGCCGCGGUAACAC
rnacentral:rRNA from 1 species